CCUAGCUGCCAUCAUAAGCUCAUCUACACUUGUUGCUACCCAUCUAAUUAAAGCCAGCUUCUCUGAUCAACUCCUACAGCAAUGGAAGAACUUGUUAUAUGGAUUGAACAUGUAGAAGUAGGUGACAGAAGGGAGAAUUUAGUUGUCUGCCCUGCUCUUUCUAAUUCACAUAUAAUGCACAGUAAUAACAAGCACAGAAGGGAGAAACUUCAGUCCUGAAAAGAAGGGCUCUCAUUUCCACCCAAACAACGACUUGUUUGUCCCAAAUGAAAGAAAAGAUGUUGUCACCUCAACCGCUUGAGGGUUAUCAUGGCGUAGAUAAGGAAGGAAGACCUAUAUACAUUGAGAGAUUGGGAAAAAUUGAUCCCAACAAGCUCACGCAAGUGACAACUUUGGGUCGGUCUGUGAGAUACCAUGCUACUGAAUCCUUUGCCAUAAUUGAUUUUCUUUGGGAUGUACUAAAUGAUUGUUAAGUUCAGCAUAAAUAGCAUCUUUGGGAAAGAAUGUUGAUAACAUAAUUCUGAUUUUGUGAUUCAUAUCUUGUAAUUUUGUGUUUUGUAAUGUAAUUUGUAAAUACCAAAUAAUGUAAUAUAUAGUGAAUGACAAAUGAUAGUUAUAGUC